rnacentral:lncRNA from 1 species
CAGGGGAAACAAGGGCAAACCCCUUGUUCUUGCAAAAUUCAUCAAAUUGACAAGGGAAAUCGAAGUUAAUCAGUUGCGUGCCUUCAAUUUUUCGAUUUUCUUAACAUACUCGGUAGAGUGGCGUGAAGGAAGAAAGCUCAAGUGCUAGGAAAUAGGAAAACGCACAAGACCGAGGUAAAUCUGCAACUUAGAUGCGAUGGCGAACUUGGAACGAACACACUCAACUCAUGCCCACUUAGCGCUUCCGAAGAUGUUUAGUUUUUUGUCCUUACAUUUUGGCAAAAACUUAGUUCGUAUGACAAUUUGUAUCUAGAUCUUUUAAACUUGUCCGUUUUUUG